AAUUUAAUUGCAGAUGGUUGGCCGUAAUGGAACUCUCAUUAACCGAGCAAGCUCUUUCGAACACAUUAGGAUAGCCAAAGUUCAUGAAAGGGCAACGUUUCUCUUUAUGUUCAUACAUGGCAUGAGGGUCAAAGUUUUAGCCAGCCUCAGUGUCAGCGACCCUCCUAAAGCUGUGCACGCACGUUUCAACUAGACAGGAAGUGUCUGUCACGUUGCCUUGAUUCUUGAAUAUUUUAAGUGCAUUCUCGUGUUGAAAUAACUUCUGGCCAGAGAUUUUCACUUUUAUGCAACUUCAGAAUUAUUUUGAAAGCAACUAAGGUGUAGACUCAAAGUACUCACAGAGCUUCGUUGAUGAAGAGAAGGAUGAACUCAAGCGCAGCGGCAAUGUGUGUUGAUUAUGAGGUCCUCUUGAGUUUCAGAGAGCCAGACACUAGCCUAACAUUCACUGAUUGCCUCUAUGAAGCCAUGAGCAAUACUGGGAUCCGUGUUUUCAGAGACGAUGAAGAGCUCCGCUUUGGCGAAGAGAUUGGAGGCAAGCUUCUGCAAGCAAUUGAAAGCUCCAAAAUCUGGAUACCGAUUUUCUCCAAAGACUAUGCUUCUAGUAUAUGGUGUCUCCAAGAAGUUGCACACAUGGUGGAAUGCAAAAGGAACUCGACUGGAAAGGAGAGUUUGCCCAUUUUCUACGACGUGGAGGCCUCAGAUGUCAAGCUCCGAACGGAGUUGUAUGAAAAUUGCUUGCGAAGGCAUGAGAAGGUGUUUGGGUACGAGAAGGUGAAGCAUUGGAGGGAGGGUCUGAGAGAGGUUGCCAGGAUCAGAGGAUGGAACAUAAAAGAUAGAGCCCAAGGUGAGCUUAUCAAAGCGAUUGUUCAAGAGGUACUAAGUAAGCUGAAAACAAGGCAGAGGAGUUUGCCUGAUCAUUUCCUUGGAAUGGAUGAUCGAGUGGAAGCUGUGAUGGAUUUGUUAGACACCUACUCUAUGGAUGUACGGUCAGUUGUAAUCCAUGGUAUGGGUGGGAUCGGCAAAACAACUCUUGCCAAGGUCAUCUUCAACAAAAUCUGUUCUCAGUUUCAAAGCUGUAGUUUCCUCUCAAACGUGCGAGAAUCAUUGCAGCGGGGCAACGUUGUGAAAUUGCAGAAACAGCUACUGUCCGACAUUCUGAAGUCAAGAUCCAAAAAAAUCAAUGACAUUGACGAUGGGAUAAACAUGAUCAAAGAAAGAUGUCUUAGCAAGAAAGUUCUCAUCGUUCUUGAUGACAUUGAUAAUGGGGACCAACUAAUAAACCUAGGAGGAAAGUCUGAUUGGUUUGGUUCAGGAAGUAGGAUUAUCAUUACAACUAGAGACACGAGUUUUCUGGUAGCUGAAGACAAGAGACUGCAUGACAAUUUCAGGGUAUAGUCUCAAGAGUUCUAUAUUUAUGAAAUGAGGGAAAUGUGUCCCAAACAUGCUCUUCAACUUUUCAGCAUGUGCGCCUUCAGAACCGACUUUCCUCCACAUGAUUUUAAUGAUCUUUCAAGUGAAGUUGUUGUCACUAUGGGAGGACUUCCUUUGGCUCUCGAGGUUGUCAGCUCGUUUCUUUACCGAAAAGGUGACGUGAUAUGGAAAGACACGCUGAAGAAGUUACAGAAAAUGCCUUACAAGGAAGUACGGAAAAAAUUGAUGAUUAGUUAUGAAGCAUUAGAGUAUGAGGAAAAACAAAUUUUUCUUGAUAUUGCUUGUUUCCUCACCGAUGAACGAAAGGGCGAUGCAAAUUAUUUUUGGAAGCUUGUGAAUUUUAUCCAAAGAGUGGAAUUAUCGUCCUUAUGCAUAUGUCUUUGAUAAAAAUUAACGACCAUGAUAAAAUAUGGAUGCAUGACCAACUCAGAGACCUUGGAAGGGAGAUUGUCCACCAAGAAAGCCACCUAAUGCCAGGAGGACGUAGCAGGUUGUGGUCUCCUGAGGUUGCUCUAAACGUAGUCCUGGAAAAGGAGGGAACUGACAAAGUAGAAGCGCUUAGCCUUGAGGCACCAAGUUAAAUGUGGAGUUUUACAUGUGAAGAAAUUGGAAGGCUGGUAAAUCUAAGAUUCCUUAAAUUAGAUGGGGGAAAACUCAUGGGAGGCUUUGAGAAUACUUUCUCAAAGUUAAGAUGGCUCUCUCGGUAUCAUUGUCCAGCAGAAUUUCAGGCAACCAACCUUAAAUUGAGGAAUUUGGUUGUCCUCAAGCUUUCAGGAAUCUACAUAACUGAAUGCUGGAGUGGAUGGGAUCAUAUCAAGGUACUUAAUUGAUUCUUGAAGAUUGUGAAAGGUCAGUUGAGAUUGACAGCUCCAUCGGGGAGUUAAAGUGUCUAGUUUACUUGGAAAUUAAUGGACGCAAUAGUAUGGAGGAGCUUCCUGCAGGAUCUAGUUUGGAUGUAUUGAGAAUUGCAAGACUUUCUAGAAAGCUUUCAGCUGGAGAAUUGAAUUCACUGAUAGAGUUACCCGAAUCAAUUGGAAACUUGACAAGAUUGAACGUAUUUAGGGUAAAACAUAUCAAGAUAGGGAAGCUACCGGACUCAAUUGGUAAACUGGAGUCACUUCUUGAAUUGGAUAUGUCUGGUACAGAAAUUACAGAUU